AUUGAACGCUGGCGGCAUGCUUUACACAUGCAAGUCGAACGGCAGCGCGGGCUUCGGCCUGGCGGCGAGUGGCGAACGGGUGAGUAAUGCAUCGGAACGUGCCCAGUAGUGGGGGAUAGCCCGGCGAAAGCCGGAUUAAUACCGCAUACGACCUGAGGGUGAAAGCGGGGGACCGAAAGGCCUCGCGCUAUUGGAGCGGCCGAUGUCGGAUUAGCUAGUUGGUGGGGUAAAGGCUUACCAAGGCGACGAUCCGUAGCUGGUCUGAGAGGACGACCAGCCACACUGGGACUGAGACACGGCCCAGACUCCUACGGGAGGCAGCAGUGGGGAAUUUUGGACAAUGGGGGCAACCCUGAUCCAGCCAUGCCGCGUGUGGGAAGAAGGCCUUCGGGUUGUAAACCGCUUUUGUUCGGGAAGAAAUCCUCUGGGCUAAUACCCCGGGGGGAUGACGGUACCGGAAGAAUAAGCACCGGCUAACUACGUG
rnacentral:rRNA from 1 species